rnacentral:rRNA from 1 species
AUUGAACGCUGGCGGCAGGCCUAACACAUGCAAGUCGAGCGAGCGGCGGACGGGUGAGUAAUGUCUGGGAAACUGCCUGAUGGAGGGGGAUAACUACUAGAAACGGUAGCUAAUACCGCAUACCAUCAGAUGUGCCCAGUUGGGAUUAGCGCGUAGGUGGGGUAACGGCUCACCUAGGCGACGAUCCCUAGCUUGUCUGAGAGUAGGAACAGCCACACGGGAACUGAGACACGGUCCAGACUCCUACGGGAGGCAGUAGUGGGGAAUAUUGCACAAUGGGCGCAAGCCUGAUGCAGCCAUGCCGCGUGUGUGAAGAAGGCCUUCGGGUUGUAAAGCACUUUCAGCGGGGAGGCGUUACCCGAAGAAGAAGCACCGGCUAACUCCGUGCCAGCAGCCGCGGUAAUAG